UACGUAGGUGGCGAGCGUUGUCCGGAUUUACUGGGCGUAAAGAGCGCGCAGGCGGUCGUUCAAGUCGCGUGUGAAAGCCCCCGGCUCAACUGGGGAGGGUCACGCGAUACUGAUCGACUCGAAGGCAGGAGAGGGAAGUGGAAUUCCCGGUGUAGUGGUGAAAUGCGUAGAUAUCGGGAGGAACACCCGUAGCGAAGGCGGCACUCUGGGCCGGUACUGACGCUGAGGAGCGAAAGCGUGGGGAGCAAACAGG
rnacentral:rRNA from 1 species